GAAAUGCGAUAAGUAAUGUGAAUUGCAGAAUUCCGUGAAUCAUCAAAUCUUUGAACGCACAUUGCGCCCUCUGGUAUUCCGGGGGGGCAUGCCUGUCCGAGCGUCAUUACGCACCUCAAGCCCGGCUUGUGUGAUGGGCCCUGGCGUCUCUUUCAGGGAGACGGGCCCCAAAGGCAGCGGGAGCGUCGAUCCGAUCAGCCCGAACGUAUGGGGACCAUCGUCACACGUUCGCGGAGCGGACCGGCGCUCGCCAUGAUUAUCUUUCUGGUUGACCUCGGAUCAGGUAGGGAUACCCGCUGAACUUAAGC
rnacentral:misc_RNA from 1 species